rnacentral:rRNA from 1 species
AACGAACGUUGGCGGCGUGGAUUAGGCAUGCAAGUCGCGGGAAUCCCAGCAAUGGGGAACCGGCGUAAGGGGCGAGUAAUGCGUGGGUACCUACCUUGGGAGUCCGGGAGUAGCCGUCCGAGAGGGCGGGUAAUACCGGAUGAUCUCGAGAGAGCAAAGCUCCGGCGUCCCGAGAGGGGCCCGACGUGAUAUUAGCUAGUUGGCGGGGUGACGGCCCACCAAGGCGGAGAUGUCUAGCGGGUGUGAGAGCACGACCCGCGCCACUCGCACUGAGACACUGGCGAGACACCUACGGGUGGCUGCAGUCGAGGAUCUUCGGCAAUGCGCGCAAGCGCGACCGAGCGACGCCGCGUGGGCGAUGAAGGCCUCGGUUGUAAG